rnacentral:rRNA from 1 species
GCUAAACGCGAAGAACCUUACCUACUCUUGACAUCCAGAGAACUUAGCAGAGAUGCUUUGGUGCCUUCGGGAACUCUGAGACAGGUGCUGCAUGGCUGUCGUCAGCUCGUGUUGUGAAAUGUUGGGUUAAGUCCCGCAACGAGCGCAACCCUUAUCCUUUGUUGCCAGCGGUCCGGCCGGGAACUCAAAGGAGACUGCCAGUGAUAAACUGGAGGAAGGUGGGGAUGACGUCAAGUCAUCAUGGCCCUUACGAGUAGGGCUACACACGUGCUACAAUGGCGCAUACAAAGAGAAGCGACCUCGCGAGAGCAAGCGGACCUCAUAAAGUGCGUCGUAGUCCGGAUUGGAGUCUGCAACUCGACUCCAUGAAGUCGGAAUCGCUAGUAAUCGUAGAUCAGAAUGCUACGGUGAAUACGUUCCCGGGUCUUGUACACACCG